rnacentral:SRP_RNA from 2 species
GCUGGGUGUGGUGGUGCAUACCUGUAGUCCCAGCUACUUGGGAAGCUGAGGCAGGAGAAUGGCUUGAACCUGGGAGGCAGAGGUUGCAGUGAGCUGAGAUCGCACCACUGCACUCCUGCCUGGGUGACAGAGCAAGACUCUGUCUCUC